UACGAGUUUGAUCAUGGCUCAGGAUGAACGCUAGCGGCAGGCUUAAUACAUGCAAGUCAAGGGGGUAGCAAUACAACCGGCGCACGGGUGAGUAACGCGUACACAACAUACCAUAUACUAAGGUAUAGCUUCGGGAAACUGGAGAUAAUCCCCCAUAACAUUGCGAGAGGGCAUCUGAUUGCAAUUAAAGUUUCGACGGUAUAUGAUUGGUGUGCGUUUGAUUAGCUUGUUGGUAGGGUAACGGCCUACCAAGGCGACGAUCAAUAGCUGGCGUGAGAGCGCGACCAGCCACACUGGAACUGAGACACGGUCCAGACUCCUACGGGAGGCAGCAGUAGGGAAUAUUGGACAAUGGGCGAAAGCCUGAUCCAGCCAUGCCGCGUGAUAGAUGAAGGCCCUCUGGGUUGUAAAUAUCUUUUAUCUGGGAAGAAACUCCUCUAUUCUUAGAGGCCUGACGGUACCAGAGGAAUAAGCACCGGCUAACUCCGUG
rnacentral:rRNA from 1 species